rnacentral:rRNA from 1 species
ACUCCUACGGGAGGCAGCAGUGGGGAAUUUUGGACAGUGGGGGCAACCCUGAUCCAGCAAUGCCGCGUGAGUGAAGAAGGCCUUCGGGUUGUAAAGCUCUUUUGUCAGGGAAGAAACGGUAGUAGCGAAUAACUAUUACUAAUGACGGUACCUGAAGAAUAAGCACCGGCUAACUACGUGCCAGCAGCCGCGGUAAUACGUAGGGUGCAAGCGUUAAUCGGAAUUACUGGGCGUAAAGCGUGCGCAGGCGGUUGUGUAAGUCAGAUGUGAAAUCCCCGGGCUCAACCUGGGAAUUGCAUUUGAGACUGCACGGCUAGAGUGUGUCAGAGGGGGGUAGAAUUCCACGUGUAGCAGUGAAAUGCGUAGAUAUGUGGAGGAAUACCGAUGGCGAAGGCAGCCCCCUGGGAUAACACUGACGCUCAUGCACGAAAGCGUGGGGAGCAAACAGGAUUAGAAACCCGAGUAGUCC